AACAAGUUAGUAUAAUCAUUACGUUUCAUUUACAAUGAAAAAAUAUUUUGAAAUAUUUGUUU
rnacentral:tRNA from 1 species